rnacentral:rRNA from 1 species
UCUGGUUGAUCCUGCCAGUAGUGAUAUGCUUGUUUCAAAGAUUAAGCCAUGCAUGUCUAAGUAUAAGCGAACUUAUACAGUGAAACUGCGGAUGGCUCAUUAAAACAGUUUGAAUUUAUUUGAUGAAUGUAUGAGAAUACUACUUGGAUAACCGUAGUAAUUCUAGAGCUAAUACAUGCAACGACGCCCGACCGUUUCACUACGGAAGGGCUGUAUUUAUUGGAUACCAAAACCAUCCUUCCCUCGGGAAGUUUCGUUUGAUGAUUCACAAUAACUGAUCGGAUCGCCACUGUGGUGGCGACAGGUCACUCAACAUUCUGCCCUAUCAGCUUUCGAUGGUUGUGUAGUGGACAACCAUGGCCAUAACGGGUAACGGAGAAUCAGGGUUCGAUUCCGGAGAAGGAGCUUGAGAAUUGGCUACUACAUCUAAGGAAGGCAGCAGGCGCGCAAAUUACCCAAUCCCGAUUCGGGGAGGUAGUGACAAAAAAUAACAAUACCGGGCCUUUUUGGGCUUGGUAAUUGGAAUGAGGGAGAGUUAAACGGACCAUCGAGUAUCCAUUGGAGGGCAAGUCUGGUGCCAGCAGCUGCGGUAAUACCAGCUCCAAUAGCGUAUAUUAAAGUUGUUGCAGUUAAAAAGCUCGUAGUUGGACUUGUGUGCGCUGUCCGCGGGUGGCCUGCGCCCAAAAGGGCGUUUCGGUUCGGCCCCGGUGGCGCCUUGAAAUCUGCAGCUGGGGGGACGUUGGCCUUAACUGGUCGGCGACCGCACGCCGGCUGCUCGGUUACUGUGAGAAAAUUAGAGUGUUCAAGGCAGGCAUUGGGUGCAAUUGAAUACAUUAGCAUGGAAUAAUAAAAUAUGGCUCCUGCCGUAUUUUGUUGGUUUUGACUGGUGGGAGUAAUGAUUGAUAGGGACGGUUGGGGGUGCUAGUAUUGAGCGGCCAGAGGUGAAAUUCAUGGAUUCGCUCAAGACUAACUUAUGCGAAAGCAUUCACCAAGGACGUCCUCUUUAAUCAAGAACGAAAGUUGGGGGAUCGAAGACGAUCAGAUACCGUCGUAGUCUCAACCAUAAACUAUGUCGACUUGGGAUCGGCGGUAGUUUUUUCAUUAAGACACUGUCGGGACCACGGGAGAAAUCAAAGUGUCUGGACUCUGGGGGAAGUAUGGUCGCAAGGCUGAAACUUGAAGGAAUUGACGGAAGGGCACCACCAGGAGUGGAGCCUGCGGCUUAAUUUGACCCAACACGGGGAAACUUACCAGGUCCAGAGAUGUAGAGGAUUGACAGAUUGAAGCUC